rnacentral:rRNA from 1 species
UACGUAGGCAGCAAGCGUUGUUCGGAGUUACUGGGCGUAAAGGGUGUGUAGGCGGUUGUUUUAAGUUUGGUGUGAAAUCUCCCGGCUCAACUGGGAGGGUGCGCCGAAUACUGAAUGACUUCGAGUGCGGGAGAGGAAAGUGGAAUUCCUGGUGUAGCGGUGAAAUGCGUAGAUAUCAGGAGGAACACCGGUGGUGUAGACGGCUUUCUGGACCGUAACUGACGCUGAGACACGAAAGCGUGGGGAGCAAACAGG